GCCCGGGUAGCUCAGGGGAUAGAGCAGUGGUUUCCUAAACCAUUGGUCGGAGGUUCGAAUCCUCUCCCGGGUGCCA
rnacentral:tRNA from 1 species